rnacentral:rRNA from 1 species
GUGGGGAAUAUUGGACAAUGGGCGAAAGCCUGAUCCAGCCAUGCCGCGUGUGUGAAGAAGGUCUUCGGAUUGUAAAGCACUUUAAGUUGGGAGGAAGGGUAGUAACCUAAUACGUUGCUACUUUGACGUUACCGACAGAAUAAGCACCGGCUAACUUCGUGCCAGCAGCCGCGGUAAUACGAAGGUUGCAAGCGUUAAUCGGAAUUACUGGGCGUAAAGCGCGCGUAGGUGGUUCAGUAAGUUGGAAGUGAAAUCCCCGGGCUCAAACUGGGAACUGCUUUCAAAACUGCUGAGCUAGAGUACGGUAGAGGGUGGUGGAAUUUCCUGUGUAGCGGUGAAAUGCGUAGAUAUAGGAAGGAACACCAGUGGCGAAGGCGACCACCUGGACUGAUACUGACACUGAGGUGCGAAAGCGUGGGGAGCAAACAGGAUUAGAAACCCGGGUAGUCC